rnacentral:rRNA from 1 species
GAUGAACGCUAGCGAUAGGCUUAACACAUGCAAGUCGAGGGGCAGCACAAGGUAGCUUGCUCUCUGGGUGGCGACCGGCGCACGGGUGCGUAACGCGUAUGCAACUUGCCCUAUACAGGAGGAUAACCCGUCGAAAGACGGACUAAUACUGCGUAUGCUCACAACUUGGCAUCAAGUGGUGAGGAAAGAAAUUCGGUAUAGGAUAGGCAUGCGUCCCAUUAGCUUGUUGGUGAGGUAACGGCUCACCAAGGCAACGAUGGGUAGGGGAACUGAGAGGUUUAUCCCCCAAACUGGUACUGAGACACGGACCAGACUCCUACGGGAGGAAGCAGUGAGGAAUAUUGGGCAAGGGGCGCGAGCCUGAACCAGCCAAGUCGCGUGAAGGAUGACUGUCUUAUGGAUUGUAAACUUCUUUUAUACGGGAAUAACAAGAGUCACGGGUGACUCCCUGCAUGUACCGUAUGAAUAAGCAUCGGCUAACUCCGUG